AAAUUCAAAAAAGUAUUUGGCAUUCAUUCAUGACGGCGCCUCGGUACAAAAGACAACGAACUUGCGGCUGAAAAAAAAAAAAAAUAAAUCAGUAUGUAAAGAGUUGGUUAUGUUGGAAAGCAGACAAGCAGGUGGCAGACAACCACAUUUUUGCUGUAAAAUCAAAUCAAAAAGUUUCAAAAGCAAAUUAGUAAUGAAUACUGCUAUCGAGUGCAGCGAGGCUAGUCAAGAAAAAUUCACUACUCUCCUCUGGUUUUAGUUCAGCUGAGAAGUUAGGUAAAUGCAAAAAACAAAUUUGAGUAUUAAACGCCUAAAAGUAGACGCCAAAAAUCACUCUUAAACCGUUCCACAAAUACUAAACCAACGAGCCUGGACGACAAAGCAGACAAAACGCGCGUUAAGAUAUUAAAUACCGUGGCACGUGCUUUAAAUACUAAAUUAACAUCACUUGAGCACUUGCCAAAAAAAAAAAA